UACAGAGGUGCCAAGCGUUAGGCGGAAUCACUGGGCUUAAAGCGCGUGUAGGUGGGUCGUUAAGUGUCCGCGUGAAAUCCCACGGCUCAACCGUGGAACUGCCGGGCAUACCGGCGAUCUUGAGGCAUUCAGGGGCGAGCGGAACAAAUGGUGGAGCGGUGAAAUGCGUAGAUAUCAUUUGGAACGCCAAUGGUGAAAACAGCUCGCUGGGAAUGAUCUGACACUGAGACGCGAAAGCCAGGGGAGCGAACGGG
rnacentral:rRNA from 1 species